CCGCGACAUGGCGAGGAUCGAGAUGUGAUUGGAUUGCGCCUGCUUGAACGGGCGUUUCAGUUUGUUUGUUUGUCUGCUGGAUACACGCUUGGUUGGCUCCGAG